AAUCCUUUCCCAACGGGAUGCGAGAUCACUGGACGUUUAUGCUCUGCUGCCCGGGGGUUGGAGGAGGGGAGCCUUGACUGGGCUUCAGCCGGCCAGGAAAAGCAGCUG